rnacentral:rRNA from 1 species
GAUGAACGCUGGCGGCGUGCCUAAUACAUGCAAGUCGAGCGAACAGACGAGGAGCUUGCUCCUCUGACGUUAGCGGCGGACGGGUGAGUAACACGUGGAUAACCUACCUAUAAGACUGGGAUAACUUCGGGAAACCGGAGCUAAUACCGGAUAAUAUAUUGAACCGCAUGGUUCAAUAGUGAAAGACGGUUUUGCUGUCACUUAUAGAUGGAUCCGCGCCGCAUUAGCUAGUUGGUAAGGUAACGGCUUACCAAGGCAACGAUGCGUAGCCGACCUGAGAGGGUGGUCGCCCACCCUGGAGCUGGGACACGGUCCAGACUCCUACGGGAGGCCGCAGUAGGGAAUCUUCCGCAAUGGGCGAAAGCCUGACGGAGCAACGCCGCGUGAGUGAUGAAGGUCUUCGGAUCGUAAAGCUCUGUUAUUAGGGAAGAACAAAUGUGUAAGUAACUAUGCACGUCUUGACGGUACCUGGUCAGAAAGCCACGGCUAACUACGUG